CCUACGGGCGGCAGCAGUGGGGAAUAUUGGACAAUGGGGGGAACCCUGAUCCAGCCAUGCCGCGUGUGUGAAGAAGGCCCUCGGGUUGUAAAGCACUUUCAGUGAGGAAGAACGCCUGGUGGUUAAUACCCAUCAGGAAAGACAUCACUCACAGAAGAAGCACCGGCUAACUCCGUGCCAGCAGCCGCGGUAAUACGGAGGGUGCGAGCGUUAAUCGGAAUUACUGGGCGUAAAGCGCGCGUAGGUGGCUUGAUAAGCCGGUUGUGAAAGCCCCGGGCUCAACCUGGGAACGGCAUCCGGAACUGCCAAGCUAGAGUGCAGGAGAGGAAGGUAGAAUUCCCGGUGUAGCGGUGAAAUGCGUAGAGAUCGGGAGGAAUACCAGUGGCGAAGGCGGCCUUCUGGACUGACACUGACACUGAGGUGCGAAAGCGUGGGUAGCAAACAGGAUUAGAUACCCCUGUAGUC
rnacentral:rRNA from 1 species